rnacentral:tRNA from 1 species
AGUGCAGGAGCAAUAAGGUUAUUGACGCGGUUUGCAGGACCGUUAAUAUCAGGUUCGAGUCCUGCCUGUGCUU